UGGUGGCGACGGCGCACGGGUGCGUAACACGUAUACAAUCUACUAACAGGGGAUAGCCUUCGAAGAGAGAUUAAUACCCGUAAUAAAUUGAACGGCAUCGUUUGAUUUGAAAGCUCCGGCGGUUUGAGAUGAGUAUGCGUCUGAUUAGCUAGUUGGUGAGGUAACGGCUCACCAAGGCGACGAUCAGUAGGGGACCUGAGAGGACUAACCCCCACACUGGUACUGAGACACGGACCAGACUCCUACGGGAGGCAGCAGUAAGGAAUAUUGGUCAAUGGAGGCAACUCUGAACCAGCCAUGCCGCGUGCAGGAUGACGGCCCUAUGGGUUGUAAACUGCUUUUAUACAAGAGAAAACCCUGGUACGUGUACCAAGUUGAUAGUAUUGUAAGAAUAAGCAUCGGCUAACUUCGUG
rnacentral:rRNA from 1 species